rnacentral:rRNA from 1 species
UUGACUUACAACAAUGGCUUUAGUGGCGGACUGGUGAGUAACACGUAAGCAACCUGCCUAUCAGAGGGGAACAACAGUUAGAAAUGACUGCUAAUACCGCAUAUGCCUUAGCAACACAUGUUGCAAAAGGGAAAGGAGCAAUCCGCUGAUAGAUGGGCUUGCGUCUGAUUAGAUAGUUGGUGGGGUAACGGCCUACCAAGUCGACGAUCAGUAGCCGGACUGAGAGGUUGAACGGCCACAUUGGGACUGAGAUACGGCCCAGACUCC